CGCAUUAGCUAGUUGGUGAGGUAACGGCUCACCAAGGCAACGAUGCGUAGCCGACCUGAGAGGGUGAUCGGCCACACUGGGACUGAGACACGGCCCAGACUCCUACGGGAGGCAGCAGUAGGGAAUCUUCCGCAAUGGACGAAAGUCUGACGGAGCAACGCCGCGUGAGUGAUGAAGGUUUUCGGAUCGUAAAACUCUGUUGUUAGGGAAGAACAAGUACGAGAGUAACUGCUCGUACCUUGACGGUACCUAACCAGAAAGCCACGGCUAACUACGUGCCAGCAGCCGCGGUAAUACGUAGGUGGCAAGCGUUGUCCGGAAUUAUUGGGCGUAAAGCGCGCGCAGGCGGUCCUUUAAGUCUGAUGUGAAAGCCCACGGCUCAACCGUGGAGGGUCAUUGGAAACUGGGGGACUUGAGUACAGAAGAGAAGAGUGGAAUUCCACGUGUAGCGGUGAAAUGCGUAGAGAUGUGGAGGAACACCAGUGGCGAAGGCGAUCUUUGGUCUGUAACUGACGCUGAGGCGCGAAAGC
rnacentral:rRNA from 1 species